UUUAAUAGCUCGUACCAAGCAGACCGCAAGAAAAUCUACCGGAGGAAAGGCUCCACGUAAACAACUGGCCACCAAGGCCGCCCGUAAGAGCGCUCCAGCAACUGGUGGAGUCAAGAAACCCCACAGAUACAGGCCCGGAACCGUCGCUCUCCGUGAGAUCAGGAGAUACCAGAAAAGCACAGAGCUGCUGAUCAGGAAACUGCCCUUCCAGCGUCUGGUCCGUGAGAUUGCUCAGGACUUCAAGACCGACCUGCGAUUCCAGAGCUCCGCCGUCAUGGCUCUCCAGGAAGCCAGCGAAGCCUACCUUGUCGGACUCUUUGAGGACACCAACUUGUGCGCUAUCCACGCCAAGAGAGUCACCAUCAUGCCCAAAGAUAUUCAAUAACCAAAAAAUCAAAAUAAAUGUUGAUAUAAAAUAGGAUCACCCCCACCAACAGGAUUAAAAAAAGAAGUAUUUAAAUUUCGAUCUAAUAAUAGUAUUGUAAUUCCACCAGCUAAAACAGGUAAAGAUAAUAAUAAUAAAACAGCAGUAAUAAACACAGCUCAUACAAAUAAAGGAAUAUAUUCUAAAGAAUAACUUAAAUUUCGUAUAUUUAGAAUUGUAGUUAUAAAAUUUACUGCACCUAAUCUGAGCGGUUUCACGGUCUUGUCACCCUCUUUCCAGAGUGCUUUUCAACUUUCCCUCGCGGUACUUGUUAGCUAUCGGUUCUGUGGACAUAUUUAGCCUUAGGAGGAGUUUACCUCCUGCUUAGCGCUGUAAGUUCAAACAACGCGACUCUCAGGGAUAGUCUAGCCAAAGCACACACUCACGCGGCCAUACGGGUCUUGCACCCUCCAUGGAACAACGUAUUGAGCGUAAACCCCGAAAGAUUUAAUACCCAACUAGUGUGAACAUUUCAGAUCACGGUUAGGCACAUCAGACGGGUGUGCGCGGCUAUAUAGACUGUCCCUAUACGCACAUUCCGCCUUCGAUAAGAUUCCGCCCUAGUUGCAACUGUAAACGAUAUCAACCAUCAAUCCGUCAAAGCGUUCCCUUGAGUCUUCGGCGUACGUCUUAACCGGCUGCGUCGGGGGCAAAGUGUAAGCGCUUGAUGGGCAGCUCUUUUUGGACGGGAAACCAGAGUUUUUCGGUUCCGGGGGGAGUCUGGUUGCAAAGCUGAAACUUAAAGGAAUUGACGGAAAGGCACCACCAGGCGUGGAGCUUGCGGCUCAAUUUGACUCAACACGGGAAAUCUCACCAGACCCGAACGUCUUUUGUGAUUGACAGACUGAAAGCUUUUUCUUGAUAAAGUGGAUGGUGGUGCAUGGCCGUUCUUAGUUGGUGGAGUGAUCUGUCUGGUUAAUUCCGAUAAGAAACGAGACAG
rnacentral:rRNA from 1 species